UGGAUGGUGCUUGCCGCGUAUCAUGGCUGCCUCCGGAAAACUCAGCACUUGCCGUCUCCCUCCGUUGCCCACGAUUCGAGAAAUCAUUAAGUUGUUAAGACUGCAAGCAGCGAAGCAGCUAUCACAGAAUUUCCUCCUGGACUUGAGGCUGACAGAUAAGAUUGUAAGGAAAGCUGGCAAUCUGACAAAUGCUUAUGUUUACGAAGUGGGCCCUGGGCCAGGGGGAAUCACAAGAUCUAUUCUUAAUGCCGACGUCGCUGAACUUCUGGUGGUUGAAAAGGACACUCGAUUUAUUCCUGGAUUACAGGUGAGAUGCUUAAAGUGUCUGCUUUAGGAGGCAAAAGCUGAAUUUAAAUCUUUAUGCCAUGAUGCUUAAACCCCAAGGUAUCCAAAGAUUAUGUAGGUUUUUCCUCAACUAUAGAUCCCCAAGGCCCCAUUCCAGAGAUUUUGAUUCCAUAGUCUGGAGAAAUCUGGAAAUCUCCAUUUUUAACAAGCACUCUCAGAGGGUCUAUUGACUACACCUUGAAAAAAACCUGCUUUAAGCAUUUAUGCUAAACAAAUUAAUUGUUUUGUGUGAUUUUUUUUUUUAAGUCUGCUAAUAGCUAUGCAUGUCGUGGCCCAUUCCUUCAAAAAUAAAUAAAAAUAAAUA
rnacentral:lncRNA from 1 species